rfam:Schistosoma mansoni, Puerto Rico, WGS project CABG01000000 data, contig: 0062
AUCCAGCUGACGCGUUCCAAAUAGGACGAAACGCGCGUCCUGGAU